UGGGGAAUCUUGCGCAAUGGGCGAAAGCCUGACGCAGCAACGCCGCGUGCGGGAAGAAGGCUUUCGGGCUGUAAACCGCUUUCAGCAGGAACGAAAAUGACGGUACCUGCAGAAGAAGGAGCGGCCAACUAUGUGCCAGCAGCCGCGGUGAUACAUAGGCUUCAAGCGUUGUCCGGAUUUAUUGGGCGUAAAGAGUUCGUAGGCGGUCGAGUAAGUCGGGUGUGAAAAUUCUGGGCUUAACCCAGAGACGCCACCCGAUACUGCUUAACUUGAGUUCGAUAGGGGAGUGGGGAAUUCCUAGUGUAGCGGUGAAAUGCGCAGAUAUUAGGAGGAACACCGGUGGCGAAGGCGCCACUCUGGAUCGAUACUGACGCUGAGGAACGAAAGCAUGGGUAGCAAACAGG
rnacentral:rRNA from 1 species